GGGAAUGUAGCUCAGUGGUAGAGUGCUUGCCUAGAAAGCACAGGGCUCUGGGUUUGAUCUUCCCUGCUUCUCCA
rnacentral:tRNA from 1 species